UACGGGGGGGGCAAGCGUUGUUCGGAAUUACUGGGCGUAAAGGGCUCGUAGGCGGCCAACUAAGUCAGACGUGAAAUCCCUCGGCUUAACCGGGGAACUGCGUCUGAUACUGGAUGGCUUGAGUUUGGGAGAGGGAUGCGGAAUUCCAGGUGUAGCGGUGAAAUGCGUAGAUAUGUGGAGGAACACCGAUGGCGAAGGCAGCCUUCUGGGCCAACACUGACGCUCAUGCACGAAAGCGUGGGGAGCAAACAGG
rnacentral:rRNA from 1 species